CCUAGAACGAUACAAAGAAUAUUAGCAUGGCCCCUGCGCAAGGACGACACGCACAAAUCGAGAAAUGGUCCAAAUUUUA
rnacentral:snRNA from 1 species